AGUGAACGCUGGCGGUAGGCCUAACACAUGCAAGUCGAACGGCAGCACAGUAAGAGCUUGCUCUUACGGGUGGCGAGUGGCGGACGGGUGAGGAAUACAUCGGAAUCUACUUUUUCGUGGGGGAUAACGUAGGGAAACUUACGCUAAUACCGCAUACGACCUACGGGUGAAAGCAGGGGAUCUUCGGACCUUGCGCGAUUGAAUGAGCCGAUGUCGGAUUAGCUAGUUGGCGGGGUAAAGGCCCACCAAGGCGACGAUCCGUAGCUGGUCUGAGAGGAUGGAUAGCCCACCGGGGAGUGGAAACGGGGACCAGACCCCUGCGGGAGGGGACAGGGGGAAAUUUUGGACAGUGGGGGCAAGCUUUACCCACCCGUCCGGGGGGGGAGAAAGAGGCCUGGGGUUUUAAAGGCCUUUUUGUGGGAAAAAAAAAGCGGCAGUUUACUCCCCCGCUUUCCUGACGGUACCAAAAAAAUAAGGACCGGCUAACUUGGUG
rnacentral:rRNA from 1 species